rnacentral:tRNA from 1 species
UCCCUGGUGGUCUAGUGGUUAUGAUUCAGCAUUUUCACUGCUGUAGCCCAAGUUCAGUCCCUGGUCUGGGAA